rnacentral:rRNA from 1 species
CGGUUAAGUCCCGUAACGAGCGCAACCCUUGUCCUUAGUUACCAGCACGUAAUGGUGGGCACUCUAAGGAGACUGCCGGUGACAAACCGGAGGAAGGUGGGGAUGACGUCAAGUCAUCAUGGCCCUUACGGCCUGGGCUACACACGUGCUACAAUGGUCGGUACAAAGGGUUGCCAAGCCGCGAGGUGGAGCUAAUCCCAUAAAACCGAUCGUAGUCCGGAUCGCAGUCUGCAACUCGACUGCGUGAAGUCGGAAUCGCUAGUAAUCGUGAAUCAGAAUGUCACGGUGAAUACGUUCCCGGGCCUU